rnacentral:rRNA from 1 species
UACGUAGGGCGCAAGCGUUAAUCGGAAUUACUGGGCGUAAAGCGUGCGCAGGCGGUUUUGUAAGCCAGAUGUGAAAGCCCCGGGCUCAACCUGGGAAUGGCAUUUGGGACUGCAAGGCUGGAGUUUGGCAGAGGAGACUGGAAUUCCUGGUGUAGCAGUGAAAUGCGUAGAUAUCAGGAGGAAUACCGAUGGCGAAGGCAGGUCUCUGGGCUAUAACUGACGCUCAUGCACGAAAGCGUGGGGGAGCAAACAAGG